rnacentral:pre_miRNA from 1 species
UAUCUACUCCCUCCGUCUGAAAAUACUUGUCAUCAAAAUGGAUAAAAAGAGAUGUAUCUAGAACUAAAAUACGUCUAGAUGCAUCCCCUUUUAUCCAUUUUGAUGACAAGUAUUUCCGGACGGAGGGAGUAACUC